rnacentral:rRNA from 1 species
CGGAACGGGUGAGUAACGCGUGAGGAACCUGCCUCAAAGAGGGGGACAACAGUUGGAAACGACUGCUAAUACCGCAUAAGCCCACGGCUCGGCAUCGAGCAGAGGGAAAAGGAGCAAUCCGCUUUGAGAUGGCCUCGCGUCCGAUUAGCUAGUUGGUGAGGUAACGGCCCACCAAGGCGACGAUCGGUAGCCGGACUGAGAGGUUGAACGGCCACAUUGGGACUGAGACACGGCCCAG